rnacentral:tRNA from 1 species
GGUAAAAUGGCUGAGUGUAAGCAUUGAACUGUAAAUUCAAAGACAGAGAUUUAACCCUCUUUUUACCA